CAAUAAAACCAGACCAAGAAUGCUUGAUUACAAACGAUGAACUCAUUUCAUUUGCAAGUUAUGCCAUGACAUAAAUGCAUUAAAUUAGGAAGAUUUGUAUUAGAUGAAUUACCCAGAUAACAAUUAAAACAACUUCUGUUGAUAAGAACAUUUGAUUGGUGGAAUCCAGAUUCUGUGAAUGUACAUGUAAUUGAUUGACAAGUACACCAUUUGACAAGGUGGUGAGAAACGUGUAGAUCUGGCCUGCUUACAGUGGCUAUUGGAUUGGACAGAACCAAAGUGAGAGUGAACGUGUGAAUUUAUGGAGAACAUUAAAAACUAUUUUACUAUAAGUCAUAACGCAACUUAUUUUGUAUGAGUUACAUACAAAUGUCAAGCCGUGAGUACAUUAUGUAAAAACUAAAACAAUGUACUGUAAUCACAACAGUAACUGUAAUCUUUUAAAAUCCAAUAGUUUUAAUGCUUAUUGAUUUUCGUAAACAAAAUAUUUCAUGUUAUAUUUCAUCAAUAAAGUUUCAUUUGAUA